rnacentral:rRNA from 1 species
AAUGAACGCUGGCGGCGCGCCUAAUACAUGCAAGUCGAGCGAGAAGACGUAGCAAUACGUUUGUAAAGCGGCGAACGGGUGAGGAAUACAUGGGUAACCUACCCUCGAGUGGGGAAUAACUAGCCGAAAGGUUAGCUAAUACCGCGUACGCUUCUUGGACUUCGGUUCAGGGAGGAAAGCGAUACCGUGGGUAUCGCGCUCUUGGAUGGGCUCAUGUCCUAUCAGCUUGNGGUGAGGUAACGGCUCACCAAGGCUUUGACGGGUAGCUGGUCUGAGAGGACGAUCAGCCACACUGGCACUGCGACACGGGCCAGACUCCUACGGGAGGCAGCAGUAAGGAAUAUUGCGCAAUGGGCGAAAGCCUGACGCAGCGACGCCGCGUGGGGGA